rnacentral:antisense_RNA from 1 species
UGGCCUCCUGAGAAUCCGACAAGACGUAAAUAGCCAAGAAUAUCUGUGGAACUUAAUCACUGAGUUACAGUAUUUAUCACUGCAAGUGUGUUGUUCAUUGACACUAUAAAGCCAUGUGGAAUUAAGCAGCCUUGAAACACAAAAUGGAGAAAGGCUGAGAGCUGAGAAUUGUUGCCUUCAGGAAAAUACAAUCAAUGUCAAGCAAACAACCACCCCAAAAUGCCAGCCACCUCAAGAAAGAACAGUUCAUGUGCAGGUGACCAUGUAGUUCAAGUCAUCAUUAAAUCCAAAGCUGAGCAGCCAUGAUGCUAUUGGUGGAAUUGCCCUUGACCAAGAGAAAUCCAUCUUGAUUGUCUCAAUAAUCGGCUCAAGGGCCAUUGAUGAUGAGGUCCUAAAUUUAAUUCCUAAUAAAACCCCUAAAGUUUUAGAGGCAAAAUGAGAAAGCAUAGCUCACAAAUGCCUUGUGACCAAUGACUUGCCUAUUCAACGUGAAAAAGAUGAGGAUGAAGACCUUUAUUAUGAUCCACUUCCAAGUAAUGAACACACUGGAGAAAGUCAGACAGUCAAAACAAUGUCCCAGACUCCGUGAAGUUCCUGGGUAGAGAAGGAGACAGACAUAUACCAUACCUAAUAAUUGGAUGUCCGAGAGAAUGAGAGAAUGGCAGAAAGAACUUUAGAGCAUGGGUAUGAUGGCUAGAGCUUGAGCAGCCAUUGUGGACAUCAGAUGAACUUGAAAGUGAAAACUAUGAGCUGAAUACGACAAAGCAAACAGAUAGAAAACUGGAUUCAUUAUGACAUUGCAAAGCUGCC